UACGUAGGUGGCAAGCGUUGUCCGGAUUUAUUGGGCGUAAAGAGCGUGUAGGCGGCCUUACAGGUCAGCUGUGAAAACUCGAGGCUCAACCUCGAGACGUCGGUUGAAACCGUAAGGCUAGAGUCCGGAAGAGGAGAGUGGAAUUCCCGGUGUAGCGGUGAAAUGCGCAGAUAUCGGGAAGAACACCCGUGGCGAAGGCGGCUCUCUGGGACGGUACUGACGCUGAGACGCGAAAGCGUGGGGAGCGAACAGG
rnacentral:rRNA from 1 species